AUUGAACGCUGGCGGCAGGCCUAACACAUGCAAGUCGAGCGGAGCGGCGGACGGGUGCGUAAUGCCUAGGUAUCUGCCUGUUAGUGGGGGAUAACGUCCGGUAACGGGCCCUAAUACCGCAUCCUAUCAGAUGAGCCUAGGUCGGAUUAGCUAGUGGGUGGGGUAAAGGCCUACCAAGGCGACGAUCCGUAACUGGUCUGAGAGGAUGAUCAGUCACACUGGAACUGAGACACGGUCCAGACGCCGACGGGAGGCAGCAGUGGGGAAUAUUGGACAAUGGGCGAAAGCCUGAUCCAGCCAUGCCGCGGGUGUGAAGAAGGUCUUCGGAUUGUAAAGCACUUUAAGUUGGGAGGCGGUACCAACAGAAUAAGCACCGGCUAACUUCGUGCCAGCAGCCGCGGUAAUUA
rnacentral:rRNA from 1 species